GGGGUGGAGAGAUUUGGGUAUGAUGUAGAGAUGGUAUGGGGGGUAUUUAGGGCAUGGUGUUUGAGGCCGGAAGGAUUCUUUCCGAAGGUGAGCGAGAGCUUGAAGUUGUUGAAGAUGGAAAAGGACCAACUUGAAGACAGCCUGAAAGAGGGGCAGAAACGGAUGAAGGAGAAUGGAAUUAGGCAUUUGAGUGUAGCUGAGGUAGAAAAGAUUGGGAAAAACAGAGUAUAUACCAAGUAAAAAAAAGGCUUUUAAUUUUGGUUCCCUUCGGUCAUUGUAGCUGAAUUACACAGUAGACUUGGACAAGGGAGUUAAAGUUGUCUCUGUUUGUAUUU
rnacentral:lncRNA from 1 species